AGGCACCCCUUCCUCCUGGGGGGCUGCGCCUCGGCCUCCUCCAGGGCAGGUGCCCCUGUGCCCCUGAAGUCCCAGCACCCAGCACCACAGAACCGCCCUGUCGUCUCGGCCCCGGAACCUUGUGGGGAGCCAACUCCUGCGGAGGGCCCGGCAGCCCCGGGCGGAAUGAGCCCCCUCCGCAAAGCCUGUCUGGGGAGCGGGGGAGGGGCGGCAGGUGCCCGGAGAAAGGCGAGAUUGGAAGAGCGGCCGGGAUGGUGGCGCUGCACACGGGCGACCUGCAGGGAGAACGGAAGCUGAGGCCGGGGUCAGGGGUGCGCGCUCCGCUCCUCCACUCCUGCGUGAAGGGCGGCCCACUCCCGAGCAGCUGCGCUGGGCGCCCGGCACGGACCCGUCUCCCUGCUCAGGUCGAUCCCCGGCCGCGCUGUCCCCACCUGGAAGCCCAGUCCCCUGGGUGCGCCCCGCCUUGGGGUCCGAGCACCCUCACAGCCCGGCCCUGCCGCUUCCCUGCACCGUCUGCGGCUCCUUAAAGAACUGGGCGCGGUCGGGGCUCGCCCCGCACUGUCCUCGAGGCCCCGCCGCCAACCCACCCCACCCCAGGAGGCCGCGGCCGCGCUCAUCCAUCCCCCGCCGCACCGUCAACGCGCGUCCUGCGGGGCGCAGAGAUCGGGGUCCGGUCGUCCCCGGGGGGCCCCAGAGACAGGUGAGGGGCCUCGCUGCCACUGCCCAUCUCAGGGGGAGAGGUCUCCCCCCACGCCCAGCCAGCCCCUAGCAUCAGGAAGGGUUCACAUCCCGAGCUCAGUCUUCAGCAAAGACCAGAGUGCUGGCCCACCCUGAUUGGUGCAUUUACAAACCUCGAGCUAGACAUAGGGU
rnacentral:lncRNA from 1 species